CAAACAAGAAGACAGAUAAAUUUAGGAUGAAGUAUAGGAUACCAGGAGAGUGUGCUCAUAGGGAAGUGGACAAAGACGCUGGAGAACCUGGAACUAGUUACCCAGGUUUCCAAGCCACCACCUACGCCAGC
rnacentral:lncRNA from 1 species